rnacentral:rRNA from 1 species
UACGUAGGGUGCAAGCGUUGUCCGGAAUUAUUGGGCGUAAAGAGCUUGUAGGCGGUUUGUCGCGUCUGCUGUGAAAUUUCGGGGCUCAACCCCGAACUUGCAGUGGGUACGGGCAGACUAGAGUGUGGUAGGGGAGACUGGAAUUCCUGGUGUAGCGGUGAAAUGCGCAGAUAUCAGGAGGAACACCGAUGGCGAAGGCAGGUCUCUGGGCCACUACUGACGCUGAGAAGCGAAAGCAUGGGGAGCGAAACAGG